rnacentral:lncRNA from 1 species
AAUUUUUAUUUGAUCAAACAAAUCAAAUAUUGCGAACAAUUAAAGAAGAGAAAAUGAAUAAACCGACCAUUCCUAGUGCAAAUGGGCUUAAUAGUUGAUAUUCGAGAUCCCAAGUUAGAAGCUUUAGUUAUUUUUACCCUCCUCACCUGCCUGCCAUUUGCGUAGGCAUCCAUUACUCACCGUCCGCCUUUACUCUCUAACCUUAUCUCUCACUCUCUCAAUAAACCUAAACUCUCUUUCUCUCUCUCACCCCAUCUCUCUGCCUCUUCUAGUAAUCUUGACUCGAUCACUCUUCUUAUUUCUCUAACCUAUGCUCUCUCUCCCUCCCCCCUUUCUAAACUCAACUCUCUCUCCCUCGAACCUCAAAUCUAUCUUUCCGUCUAACCUCAAAUCUCUCUCUCUAAGCUAAACUCUCCCUCUCUCUUUAUCUCUCUACAUCUUUAUCCUUAACUCUCUCUCUCUCUCUAUCUCUCUUUCUCUCUCUCUCCUGGCUCGAACUAAACGCACCCAUAGUAACUGAGAAUGGAAUUA